rnacentral:rRNA from 1 species
CCUACGUGUGGCAGCAGUGAGGAAUAUUGGUCAAUGGGCGCGAGCCUGAACCAGCCAAGUCGCGUGAGGGAUGACUGUCCUAUGGAUUGUAAACCUCUUUUGUCGGGGAGCAAGGCCCGCCACGUGUGGCGUGAAGGAGAGUACCCGAAGAAAAAGCAUCGGCUAACUCCGUGCAAGCAGCCGGUAAUCAGGGGGAUGCGAACGUUAUCCGGGUUUAUUGGGUUUAAAGGGUGCGUAGGCGGAAGUUUAAGUCAGCGGUCAAAUGUCGGUGCUCAACCACGGUCUGCCGUUGAUACUGGUAUUCUUGAGUGAGCGAGAAGUAUGCGGAAUGCGUGGUGUAGCGGUGAAAUGCAUAGAUAUCACGCAGAACUCCGAUUGCGAAGGCAGCAUACCGGCGCUCAACUGACGCUGAGGCACGAAAGCGUGGGGAUCGAACAGGAUUAGAUACCCCAGUAGUC